UACGUAGGGUGCGAGCGUUGCCCGGAUUUAUUGGGCGUAAAGGGCGCGCAGGCGGUACGGCACGUCCGUUGUGAAAUCGCUCGGCUCAACUGGGCGGGGUCAGCGGAUACGGCCGCACUUGGGCGAAGCUAGGGGGCAAUGGAAUUCCCGGUGUAGUGGUGGAAUGCGUAGAGUAUCGGGAGGAACACCAGUGGCGAAGGCGGGUUGC
rnacentral:rRNA from 1 species